rnacentral:tRNA from 1 species
GAUCGCGUAGCUCAGUCGGCAGAGCGCCUCGUUCACACCGAGGAGGCCGCAGGUUCGAGCCCUGCCGCGAUCA